rnacentral:rRNA from 1 species
UGAGCAAUCUGCCCUUCUCAUCGGAAUAAGCGUUGGAAACGACGUCUAAUGCCGAAUACGACCUCCUUUCGCAUGAUCGGGAGUGGAAAGCUCCGGCGGAGAAGGAUGAGCUCGCGGCCUAUCAGCUAGUUGGUGUGGGUAAUGGCCCACCAAGGCGACGACGGGUAGCCGGCCUGAGAGGGUGACCGGCCACACGUGGGACUGAGACACGGCCCAGACCUCCGUACGGGAGCA